rnacentral:rRNA from 1 species
AUACGAAGGGUGCAAGCGUUACUCGGAAUUACUGGGCGUAAAGCGUGCGUAGGCGGUUCGUUAAGUCCGAUGUGAAAGCCCUGGGCUCAACCUGGGAACUGCAUUGGAAACUGGCGGGCUGGAGUGCGGUAGAGGAUGGCGGAAUUCCCGGUGUAGCAGUGAAAUGCGUAGAUAUCGGGAGGAACACCCGUGGCGAAGGCGGCCACCUGGACCAGCACUGACGCUGAGGCACGAAAGCGUGGGGAGCAAACAGGAUUAGAUACCCUGGUAGUCCACGCCCUAAACGAUGAGAACUGGAUGUUGGGUGCAACUUGGCACUCAGUAUCGAAGCUAACGCGUUAAGUUCGCCGCCUGGGAAGUACGGUCGCAAGACUGAA